GAAGUCCGUGUUAGUGACA
rnacentral:guide_RNA from 1 species